GGGCCUGCACAAGCGGUGGAGUAUGUGGCUUAAUUCGAUGCAACGCGAAGAACCUUACCUGGCCUUGACAUGCAUCUCUAAGCGUGUGAAAGCACGUGACCCCUCGGGGAAUUUGCACAGGUGCUGCAUGGCUGUCGUCAGCUCGUGUCGUGAGAUGUUGGGUUAAGUCCCGCAACGAGCGCAACCCUUGUGUCCUGUUGCCACUUCCGCUAGCGCGGAAAGCACUCUGGACAGACUGCCUCGUCUCAACGAGGAGGAAGGUGGGGAUGACGUCAAGUCAGUAUGGCCCUUACGGCCAGGGCUGCACACGUACUACAAUGCCUGGUACAAUGGGAAGCAAUACCGUGAGGUGGAGCAAAUCCUCAAAACCAGGCCCAGUUCGGAUUGAGGUCUGCAACUCGACCUCAUG
rnacentral:rRNA from 1 species